CUGAAUCUGAGGCUGGAAGGAAUAGGGCAGAUUUGAGGUAGUGUGAAAAGGCCGUCUGUGAUGGACAUGUGUGCAGAGCCAGGAACAAAGCCAUUCCGUUAUUUUACACAGCGGAUAAAAUGAGCUUUCUGAAGAGAACGGACAGGAGGAAGAGUUAAAAUAUUGUAUGGAAAAUUCAAACAGAAGACAGGUACAAGAAAGAGACCAUGAGCAAGGAUCCAGGUGUUGCUGAAACUAGAAUGUGAAUCUGUGUGUGAGUGACCAGGAUCGUAAAGGUAGACUUACUCAUGGGAUGAGAAGGAAGCUACGUAGUAUUCCUGUGAUACCUCCAUCGCCAUGGGAGCCAAGGUGGGUUAUUGGCAGGAAGACAGAGAGUGCCCAUGGUGGAAGAACAGUGUUCAUGUGGAGAAGCGAUUCUACGACAGAUGCAUGAGUUCAGGUGAUCAGUAGGAACACCCUUGUAACCACCAUGAACUUGGAUCGUCAGCACUCGGUCUUCAUCAAUUCCAGCCCAGCAGCGCUGACAAAGGAAGCCCAUUGCUUACAUUUCUCAACAUGGUACAUGCCAGGCAGGCAGCCCAAGUGUCAGCCCAAACCUAUCUCUGAUUUCACACCCGGCCUGGCAUGGUUGGUAAUGAUCCAGACGUGGGCUCUGAGCACAAGGUCUGGGACAGUGUAUUGCGUCUUCCACUGACUGCCUGAGUGCUUCUUGCUUACGUCACCACUCUAAACCAUCAAUCCAAAAUGGGGACAUUAACUGUUGUUA